CAGAUGCAUCUUCAAAUUUGCCGCCAAUUCCCGCCCACAACGUCGAAUGUGUCGUAGGUCGUAACAGUCGAAUGAGCAGCAAUGAUUUGGUCACGUGUUUUAGAAGUUUGAAUUCACAAACGGAUGUCAGAUGCGUCUCCUCGACUGUGGAGCAUAUGCGGGAAAUAUGAUCACGAAAGGCAAGAAAUGAUGGCACAGCUACAGAGUAUUGAGCAAAUAGAUGUAAAUGUUAAAAAUAUUUUAUAUUUAGCGGAAAAGGGACAAGGAGCAAGUUAUUUUUUUGACUAUCUAAAAGAAACUGGACUGGAUAAGAGAAUUUAGGAGGAGACAAAUAUGAACAGAAGAUGCAAACCGGAUGCAAGCUGCCGCUACACACCAAAGAAGAAGAAGAAGAAGAAGAUGCGUCUCCUCAACGGGUUUGCGCGGGUAUCUUCGAUUCACUGCUUUAGUGCUUUGGUGAGCCAUCCUCGGAUAUCAUGAAGCUGCAUUUGCAUUUUGGAAUAAAGAAUAUGUUUUCUCCUGCGUUUCGAACGAAGGGUGGGAACGUCAUCGGUGCGACAUCUCCCGGGUUUCUCCAUGUACAACGUGUGAUGGUGCUUUUCUCGUGGACGUUUCUCUGGACAGAGUGAGAGAGAAGACAUUGCCCAGCCCCGUUGAUCCACUGAUGAUGUUGGUCUGUUUACAGGUUAUGUGGAAAAGCCUGUGCUUGGUGGAGAUCUACUGCAGAUGACCACAGCAUCCCAGUUCCCAAGAGGGGACUGUUUUAGUCAUUUUCUACUGGGCAAACUGAAUUACUCCAGGGUUCAGUGGAACUCAACUCUUGUCAGUUGAAAUCAAUGCAGUUUCAAAGGUCUUUGAAGUGCUUCAACGGGCUCAAUACAAUUCCAGCUGAGGACGAGGGGGAUCCUAAUGAAACAAUCUAACGAAAGGAUUAUUUUCUAAAAAAAAAGUAUGUACUUUUUAUUAAAUAGUUCAGAUUGAGCUCGGGCCGGAAGAAGCCGGGAACUAGGUCUGCGGCGUUAGUACGUCAUCACGCUCGGCCAGCGUUAGUUUCGCAUGUAAAGAGUGGGGCAGUGCUUCUGCUCGCGCAUGCGCCGUGGAGUGUGAUGACACGGUUCCCGGCUUGAGCUCAAUCCGAACUAUUGUAUAUACCUUUUUUUAACCAAU